rnacentral:misc_RNA from 1 species
GAAAUGCGAUACGUAGUGUGAAUUGCAGAAUUCCGUGAAUCAUCGAAUCUUUGAACGCAUAUUGCGCUCGAGGCCUCGGCUAAGAGCAUGUCUGCCUCAGCGUCGGGUUAAUAUCAUACCACCAUACACUGUGUGUGUCUGAUGGUAUGGACCUGGCUGUUCCAGUGGCUUGACUCGUGGCAAACCUUACCUUCACUGGGGGGUUGGCACCAAGUCAAUCACAUGGUUGCUGGAUCAGCUGAAGCAUAGAGGCUAAUCAGGGACCCGCUAAGGGCCGCAACUGGGUAGGCAUUAACCACAUGCUACAUCUAGUUGUUGGUCUGGGACACUGUGUUGGCCCUCCAACAGGAACCAUUAACCCCUUAUUUUCUCGACCUGAGCUCAGGCAAGAACACCCGCUGAACUUAAGC